rnacentral:tRNA from 1 species
GGGACUAUAGCUCAGCCGGCUAGAGCGCACGCCUGAUAAGCGUGAGGCCGGUGGUUCAAGUCCACCUAGUCCCC